GGGAGACGAGGAAGGAGGAGUUCUCGAAGAUCCGACCCAUGAGCUGCGUAGAGACAAGUCACAGCGGGGACCGUUCGAAGCCGGAGAGGAGAAGGACCGGGGAGGGGGAGAAGAUGAAAGGUGGAAUCAUCAGACACGGAGGAGAGCUCAGACCCUAUAUAAGACUUCCCGAGGAAUCCCAGCACAGGAGAUUGUACCGGAGACUGCACCGGUGGCGGAGAUUGUACCGGAGGAGCACACAGAGGAUCGCACGCCGACUUGUCCCGCAGGUCGGAGAGGAGACAGUCAGGUGAAUUCUGUGCCGCUCUGACUUGGAACAAUGGCAACGCCAGCAGCAGUGAACCCGCAGUGGUACAUUCCACCUAUCAUCUGGGGAAAAAGUGGACAUAUCCAAACAGCACUGUAUGGAAAGAUGUGUCGGGUCAGCUCUCCAAACCCGUACGGUCUGAGGAAGUAACUGAUGGAGCUACUGCAACCUUCGACCUCUUUGAGCCACUAGCUCUGCACUGGAGAUAAUGUCACUGUGGUUAUAUGUACUGGAAUAGCCAAUCACAGCGAGAAGCAGUAUAUUCGGACUUUUGUGGACCAUGCUCAGAAAAAUGGAUAUAGAUGUGCUGUGUUGAAUCACCUCGGAGCUUUACUGAAUAUUGAGCUAACAUCUCCACGCAUGUUUACGUAUGGUAUAAGAUUUCCUAUCAUCUGUGCCCAAGAGGGCUUCGUCAGGAACCCGUGGAGGGUGAUAGUCUACAUCUACAUGAAUAAAAGAUAAAGACUUACCUCUGUUUGAAACAAGGCAUAGGUGCGGGUACAGAAACUGUUGCUCCCAACCACUUGCAGGACUUCACGCUCAGUGCGGAUGAAGAUCGGGUCAUUUAGCAGAUCGCUCUUUUUCACCAUCUUCACAGCCAUCAAUGUUCCGGUGUCACAGUGGGUUGCCAGCUUCACCUAUAAGAGAGAGACGGUUAAUCAUUUUUUUUCCAUGUGCUUUAGCUGUAACAUCAUUACUAGAGAUUGUUCAUGUUCUGUACUCAAUCGUCUGCCUUUCUUUUCCCUUUUAUCUAUUUUUCUGGCUUGGCCAUUUGACAAAAUAUUACCAUCUGCUGUAAGUGUCUUUUACACAUAAAGAGCCUCCAUCAGCUUUAAUCAACACAGCAGGCUGGUUCUUGGGUGCCAUAACCCAGAGUGACCAAUCAGAAUUUACUUUGCAAAAGUCAUACUUGUUCUAGGUGAAUUCUGACUGGUUGCUGCACUGUUGGGCAAAGUCUGACACGCGGCAAAGCUGAAAUCGGGGUGAAAACCUUACCUAUGCAAUAGGUUUAUCUCUAUUCUACAAGGGUUAACUGCUUGUUUUGCAUGUGGGGACGGAUGAAUAAGGUGAUAUACUUUAUUCCUUAACCUGAUUCCUCAUCACUGCAUGACUGUCACGCCAAAGCCUCUUUCCUUCACUGCCCAGGCGAUCGCAGCUCUCUGACAUCAUCCCACAUAGUACAGAACCAGCAGCCCUGGAUUGUAUGGGAGGAUGCCAAGGGUCAUGGGACAGUGGAGGAGAGCAUUGGCUGCCAGGUGAGCAAGGGAUAAGGUAAUGAUAUCAUCUCAUUCAUCACACCUUGGCAAAAUGAGGAUCCCAGGAUGUGUACAACCCCUUCUAAAAUCCCUCCUGCAGGGUGAGCUGAGUGUUUAUGUAAAUCCCACCAUAUAGUGUUCCCUGUGGAUGGUCAUACUGUGUCCCCCUGUGUCUAUGGUCCAUUAAGUAUUAAUCUUUGGUCACUUACCUUUCCAUAGCCUCCCUCUCCAAUUAUCUUGUAGAAGAUAAAAGCUCUCCAGACACAGACAUUCUUUAUGGGCUACUGCCCAUUCUGCAGGAGUUGGUUUGUGUUCUGCAGUGGCUGAUACGUGGUCUGUUGGGGCCGGUACAUGGACUGUAUGGGUCAGAACAUUUUCCUGGGUGUGGAUUGAUGUUGUCCCACUAACUCCUAGAGAGAGAAAUCAAGUUUAGUACCUUGUCUACAUACAAAUCAAAUUACUCGGUUUACUUCUAUUGGCAAUUCAAGCCUCCAAAACAGAGAACUGUUAAAAAGUGGUAUGAUGGACAUGGAAAGUCUGAUUCCAGCUGUAACUGAUAAUUUGGUUUUGACCAUUGAAUAAACAACAAAUCGA